UACGAAGGGGGCUAGCGUUGUUCGGAAUUACUGGGCGUAAAGUGCACGUAGGCGGAUAUUUAAGUCAGGGGUGAAAUCCCAGAGCUCAACUCUGGAACUGCCUUUGAUACUGGGUAUCUUGAGUAUGGAAGAGGUAAGUGGAAUUGCGAGUGUAGAGGUGAAAUUCGUAGAUAUUCGCAGGAACACCAGUGGCGAAGGCGGCUUACUGGUCCAUUACUGACGCUGAGGUGCGAAAGCGUGGGGAGCAAACAGG
rnacentral:rRNA from 1 species